AAAUAUGCACGAAAGAGCAACGGUCAGCGACGACUUCUCAUGAAAAUUCUGGGCAACUCUAAAAUUUUGGGAUAUAGAAAUUGGAAAAGGGAAAAUGCUAUUAUUUUUUCCAAUUAUUAGUCAUCAAGGGUUAGGGUAGGUGGUAUACAAAUUCUUUACAGAAACUAUCUUGUGGUUGAAAUCUAAAAUCGUGUUUCCAUAAUUUAGUUGCAUAGUUGCUUCACGUUCGCCUGAAAAAGUUGGGAAAUUUUUCUGCCGUUCUUUGGUUCUCUCCUUGAAUCGCAAACCCAUUAUGUAAAAUUAAGUUUUGAGUGCAACAUUCUGCAGCCAUGACUUACUACUAUAUGGGAAAUCGGUGAUGCUGUGAAAUUGCAAAUUGUUCUCUCUCCAUAAAUGUACUCCGAUCCAUAUAUAUUAUAUGUAUGUACUGCCAUUUUGUUGGGGCAAGCUCUGACAAUCGAAUUUUCGAACGCCCGGGGAAAAAUAAGACCCGAAAUUUCACACAGAUCGGCAUCCACACGACCUCCACUUCCAACCCUCCAGCAAUCUCGUCCCCAGCCCCUAGGAGGAGGACUGCACAGUGGACGCCAGUAGAUAAUCGAGUCUUCAUGGUGGCCUGUAAGAUCAUAAUAGCCUACGGGCACCAUAACGGGAAGUGCUUCACGAAACAUGGCUGGCAUGUGAUUGUCCAAUUUUUCAACGCCAACUCCGGGCAUGAUUGGAGUAGGCAGCAGUUGAAGAAUCACUGGGAUUAUCUUCAAGUCAAGUAUAAACGUAUCCAGGACUUGAUAGACUGCACCAGCAUCGCAUACUAACACUACACGCGGCCGCCUAGUCGCGUCCGACGAGUGGUGGGCACAAAAAAUGAAGGAGAACAAAGAGUACAGAGAGUUCAAAGACAAAGACUGUAGAGAGAUAUACGCCUACCGAGUUCUGUUCGACAAUGUGUACGACAAUGAGAAGUACGCGACGACGUCGAUAAAGCUGUGCAGGACGGGGUUCGCCAUGUUCGAAGACAGUGCCAAUGACGACACACGCGACGCAACGCCGAUGUACGAGGAGAGCAGCGGCUCCACUGAUGAGGGCUAUAAGUUCGACAUGGCCCGAAUCAAGCAUGGACAUCUCCGCCCGUAGGAGCAGUGAGAAACGUAGAUCCAGCGGCAGUAACAGAAAGGGGAAGAGAACUAAAAUAUCAACUAAAGAAUUGUCUUACUCGGUUGACAGAGCCACUACUGCAAGUGAGAAAGUUUCGAUGAAACUUGACAACUUAGUCGGAUCUGAUGUUCUGGGCAUGAAGACAUGCAUGAAGGAGUUGUUCGCCGGGCAGAUUGCCAAAAAAACAGACCUCUACUUUUGGAUGUGCACGUUUCUAUCUUAAAGUGGAAGAAGGAGAUUCUGGAGAUGCAGUACGAUGGGAACGAGAAGAUUGAUUGGUUGGAGUGGAACUAGCAUCAGUACAGGCAAGGAGGACCACAAUGAGGACUGCGUGAUAGGCAACAUAAUAGAUCCCCCUUGGCGAAGGGUCUCCGUGGAACUUAUCGUUUGUGUGAUUUCAUUUUUUUCCGUUUUCCUCUGUUUGCGUUUCAUCAACCUUAGACAUUUGUUGUUGUGUACUUUUUAAGAUCUCCUGUAUCCAUAAAUGUACUACCAACUACUGAGAUUUUAUGUCAAUGACUGUCGUUUGUAGUUUUCCAAUUUUCACAAAGCUGC